rnacentral:sRNA from 1 species
UUGCGUAUAUUUAUGGGCCCGAUCGCAG